UGCAGGUUAAAAAGCUCGUAGUUGGAUUUCGGAGUGGGCCAGUUGGUCCGCCGCAAGGUGUGUUACUGACUGGUUUGCUCUUCUUCGCAAAGACUGCGUGUGCUCUUCGUUGAGUGUGCGUAGGAUUUACGACGUUUACUUUGAAAAAAUUAGAGUGUUCAAAGCAGGCUAUUGCUUGAAUACAUGAGCAUGGAAUAAUGGAAUAGGACUUUGGUCCCAUUUUGUUGGUUUCUAGGACCGAAGUAAUGAUUAAGAGGGACAAUUGGGGGCAUCCGUAUUUCGUUGUCAGAGGUGAAAUUCUUGGAUUUACGAAAGACGAGCAACUGCGAAAGCACUUGCCAAGAGUGUUUUCAUUAAUCAAGAACGAAAGUUAGAGGAUCGAAGACGAUCAGAUACCGUCCUAGUUCUAACCAUAAACGAUGUCGACUAGGGAUCAGCGGGCGUUAUCGUACGACCCCGUUGGCACCUUGCGGGAAACCAAAGUUUCUGGAUUCCGGGGGAAGUAUAGUCG
rnacentral:rRNA from 1 species